UAAGCAUAUCAAUAAGCGGAGGAAAAGAAACCAACAGGGAUUGCCCUAGUAACGGCGAGUGAAGCGGCAACAGCUCAAAUUUGAAAUCUGGCUCUUUCAGAGUCCGAGUUGUAAUUUGCAGAGGGCGCUUUGGCGUUGGCAGCGGUCCAAGUUCUUUGGAACAGGACGUCACAGAGGGUGAGAAUCCCGUACGUGGUCGCUGGCCUUCGCCGUGUAAAGCCCCUUCGACGAGUCGAGUUGUUUGGGAAUGCAGCUCUAAAUGGGAGGUAAAUUUCUUCUAAAGCUAAAUACUGGCCAGAGACCGAUAGCGCACAAGUAGAGUGAUCGAAAGAUGAAAAGCACUUUGGAAAGAGAGUCAAAUAGCACGUGAAAUUGUUGAAAGGGAAGCGCUUGCAGCCAGACUUGCCUGUAGUUGCUUAUCUGGACUUUUGUCCGGUGCACUCUUCUGCGGGCAGGCCAGCAUCAGUUUGGGCGGUUGGAUAAAGGUCUCUGUCAUGUACCUCCUUUCGGGGAGGCCUUAUAGGGGAGACGACAUGCAACCAGCCUGAACUGAGGUCCGCGCAUCUGCUAGGAUGCUGGCGUAAUGGCUGUAAGCGGCCCGUCUUGAAACACGGACCAAGGAGUCUAACAUCUAUGCAAGUGUUUGGGUGUCAAGCCCAGACGCGUAAUGAAAGUGAACGGAGGUGGGAACCUUUUAGGUGCACCAUCGACCGAUCCUGAUGUCUUCGGAAGGAUUUGAGUAAGAGCAUGGCUGUUGGGACCCGAAAGAUGGUGAACUAUGCUUGAAUAGGGUGAAGCCAGAGGAAACUCUGGUGGAGGCUCGCAGCGGUUCUGACGUGCAAAUCGAUCGUCAAAUUUGGGCAUAGGGGCGAAAGACUAAUCGAACUAUCUAGUAGCUGGUUCCUGCCGAAGUUUCCCUCAGGAUAGCAGUAACGUAUUCAGUUUUAUGAGGUAAAGCGAAUGAUUAGAGGCCUGGGGGUUGAAACAACCUUCACCUAUUCUCAAACUUUAAAUAUGUAAGAAGUCCUUGUUACUUGAUUGAACGUGGACACUUGAAUGUACCGUUACUAGUGGGCCAUUUUUGGUAAGCAGAACUGGCGAUGCGGGAUGAACCGAACGCGGGGUUAAGGUGCCAGAAURYACGCUCAUCAGACACCACAAAAGGUGUUAGUUCAUCUAGACAGCAGGACGGUGGCCAUGGAAGUCGGAAUCCGCUAAGGAGUGUGUAACAACUCACCUGCCGAAUGAACUAGCCCUGAAAAUGGAUGGCGCUCAAGCGURUUACCCAUACCCCGCCGCCGGGGCARRAUUUAUGCCCCGGCGAGUAGGCAGGCGUGGAGGCUCGUGACGAAGCCUUGGG
rnacentral:rRNA from 1 species